UUAUAGUAAAAGCUGAAUCCAAAUCCUGUACUUUGGAGCGGGGGAUUAUUAUUGGGGUGAAUCACGUGGACGAUUCACGUGUAGGGCUUACACCUGCUGCCCGAAUCCGUCAACUAACCUCGCAAGCUAAGAAAGGUGGAUUU
rnacentral:sRNA from 2 species